rnacentral:rRNA from 1 species
GACGAACGCUGGCGGCGUGCUUAACACAUGCAAGUCGAACGGGCCUGUCUUCUUUUUUGGGGGUGGGUUGAGUGGCGAACGGGUGAGUAUCACGUGAGUAACCUGCCCUUCGGUCCUGGAUAACCGCUUGAAAGGGCGGCUAAUACGGGGUGGUCCGGUUGGUCCGCAUGGGCUGGUCGGGAUAGAUUCACUGUUUUUGGUGUUUCGGCGGGGGAUGGGCUCGCGGCCUAUCAGCUUGUUGGUGGGGUGAUGGCCUACCAAGGCGGUGACGGGUAGCCGGCCUGAGAGGGUGGGCGGCCACACUGGGACUGAGAUACGGCCCAGACUCCUGCGGGAGGCAGCAGUGGGGGGUAUUGCACAAUGGGCGGAAGCCUGAUGCAGCGACGUCGCGUGAGGGAUGGAGGCCCUCGGGUUGUGAACCUCUGUUUCCGGUGGUGAAGGCCCUGUCCGUGUGGUGGGGUUGACGGUAGCCGGGGAUGAAGCGCCGGCUAACUACGUG